CAGAAGUUUCAAUCAACCGAUGUGAUGCAUGCAGAGGGAGAGAACUGUGAAUUGCCAUUGCUGAUGACUGAAGUUCCUUCCAACAUUGCUGCGAGACGGUUGCAGUUUACCGAUGCCAUUGGAUCGAAGAAAUCCAUACCGACUGCAGCGGAUGUGGUGCGCGAAAAUCGUGAUUCUCAGAUGGGCAAGCAACUUUCAU
rnacentral:lncRNA from 1 species